AUAAAGACUGGGAACGGGAAGAGUAGGCGGUCAGCCCUUCAGAGAGCGGAAUUGUAGUUGCUGUGAAUUUCCGCAGGAUGCAGCCCCCGAAGUCGCCCCGGAGUCGCCCUUCUGAGCUUGCCUCCAUGUUUAUGGAGACCAGGUUAGGAUGUGGCCGGACGCAGCCGUUAUCUGCAUGAGUGUCGCGCUAAGCUUCCGGACCUGUAAGGGGUCCGAGGCAGGGGUUUAUUUUUUGUUAGCGCGAAACAAAGGUGGUACCGCGAAAGAAUGGCCUUUCGUCCUUUGA
rnacentral:ncRNA from 1 species